AUUUUGUGUGCAUUGUUUAUAUCGAUUUUGGUUGUUUUGGUUUCUUUCUCAAUUUUUUUGGAGUUGGUGUGUGGUUGGGGUUAUUCGAUUUUGGUUCUGUAUUUUAGUUUGUCUCUUUGUGGGAGUUGUUUAUGUGUGUUUUGGUAGUUUUUCUUUGUCUUUGUCGUAGUUGUUAAUGUCAUUUGUGUGUAAUGGUUGUUUUUCUUUGUCGAAAAUUCUGGCCUUAUUUCUGAACAGUUUGGGAAUUUGUGGUCGAUAAGACAGUUGAUUCUUUGCUGAUACAUUGUGAUCGAUUUGAAAAGUUUGGAGUUUGGAUUUUGUUAAACAUGUACAUGUACUAGUCGAAUUAUUAUUAUUCAUCAUUUCAAAUAGUUAUAUCAAUUUCAUUAGAAAUGGGGGAUACAUUUAAAGUUAUAUUGAAAAUUUAACUGUACAAUACCCAAUUCUGUAUAAUUAUAUUGAUGUUUAAUAGUAAUGUGAUAUAUAUGAUAAUUAUAUAAAUACAGAGGUGGAGAAUGCGACAAUAUAUUAAAGAUAACAUUGAUUCUUUUAGAUUUAGAACGUGACAUUUCUAAUAAUGAUAUUCGGAUGUUGAAUGCGACAUUUUUAACAAUUAUAUAUACUGAUUAUUUUAGAUGCAGAAUGCGACAUUUUAGACUAGUAUAAUAUUAUUGUUCUUUGGUUUUUCGUUUGUUUUCAGAUGACGUAAGAAAACAUCACUGGAGUACUUUUGAAAGACAAAACUAGAUAAAAUUGUAUAUUUCUAAAUAUUACCACCAUAUAAUUCAUACUAUUGAAAAAAAUGUUUAUUGAUCAUUUAGCAUACGUAUAGCAGGAAAUGGCUGGAAGAAUCCUAGCAGACGACAGUUGUCGCGCAGAUGCAAUCAUGCACCAUAUCAGACUGCCCGGAAUUACAGGCUGGUCCAGCUCUAUACUGGACUCGCUUUCAGCAUGUUAGGGUUUGAAAAAGGAAAUCAUAAUUUUGUAACGUAGCAGACGACAAUAAAUCUUAAAGUGGAAAUUUGCGACUUCCGGUGUGUCUGCUACUCGAUGUUGUGAUCUCAGUUACUUCCCCUGACGUUCAGUAUAUGAAAUGAGGGUCGAGUUUCAGGAUUUGAAAUUAAGAAAGAAAGAUAUGAAAUGAGCACCGGCAAACUGAUCUUGGCAUGUUACAUCCUUAUCACAAAACUGGAACCUACUGAUUAUGAUGAG